rnacentral:rRNA from 1 species
GCCAGACUCCUACGGGAGGCAGCAGUGGGGAAUAUUGCACAAUGGGGGGAACCCUGAUGCAGCGACGCCGCGUGAGUGAAGAAGUAUUUCGGUAUGUAAACCUCUGUCAGCAGGGAAGAACGGUCACUGUGCUAAUCAGCAGUGAAUUGACGGUACCUGCAAAGGAAGCACCGGCUAACUCCGUGCCAGCAGCCGCGGUAAUACGGGGGGUGCGAGCGUUAAUCGGAAUUACUGGGCGUAAAGCGCUCGUAGGCGGUAUGUCAAGUCAAGGGUGAAAUCCCCGCACUCAACGUGGGAACUGCCUUUGAAACUGGCAAACUGGAGUGUGUGAGAGGAUAGUGGAAUUCCAGGUGUAGGAGUGAAAUCCGUAGAUAUCUGGAGGAACAUCAGUGGCGAAGGCGACUAUCUGGCACAUAACUGACGCUGAGGAGCGAAAGCGUGGGUAGCAAACGGGAUUAGAUACCCUUGUACAC